AUCCAUUGACGAGUCCCAAAUAGGACGAAACGCGCGUCCUGGAU
rnacentral:hammerhead_ribozyme from 1 species